AUGCUCUAUAAUGACAGUCAAAGCCUGAUCUUGUCAGAUUUCAGAAGCUAAGCUGGGCUGGGCCUGGUUAGUACUUGGAUGGAGCCGGGUAUACCAUGUGCCAUACCAGGUCCUAGUGGGAC
rnacentral:rRNA from 1 species